rfam:Pedobacter sp. BMA contig07, whole genome shotgun sequence.
AAAGGAGUAGCCGAAAACCUCAAACAGAGUAGGCA